rnacentral:rRNA from 1 species
UACGUAGGGUCCGAGCGUUGUCCGGAAUUAUUGGGCGUAAAGGGCUCGUAGGCGGUUCGUCACGUCGGGAGUGAAAAACUCGGGGCUCAACCUCGGGCCUGCAGUCGAUACGGGCAAACUAGAGUACUGCAGGGGAGACUGGAAUUCCUGGUGUAGCGGUGAAAUGCGCAGAUAUCAGGAGGAACACCGGUGGCGAAGGCGGGUCUCUGGGCCGAUACUGACGCUGAGGAGCGAAAGCGUGGGGAGCGAACAGG